UAGUCAUAUGCUUGUCUCAAAGAUUAAGCCAUGCAUGUCUAAGUAUAAACAAAUCUAUACUGUGAAACUGCGAAUGGCUCAUUAAAUCAGUUAUAGUUUAUUUGAUAAUACCUACUACUUGGAUAACCGUGGUAAUUCUAGAGCUAAUACAUGCACAAAAGCCCGACUUCUGGAAGGGCUGUAUUUAUUAGAUACAAAACCAAUGCGGCUUCGGCCGGUUCUUUGGUGAUUCAUAAUAACUUUGCGAAUCGCAUGGCCUUGUGCUGGCGAUGAUUCAU
rnacentral:rRNA from 1 species